GACGAACGCUGGCGGCGUGCUUAACACAUGCAAGUCGAACGGAAAGGCCCUGCUUUUGUGGGGUGCUCGAGUGGCUAACGGGUGAGUAACACGUGAGUAACCUGCCCUUGCCUUUGGGAUAACUUCAGGAAACUGGGGCUAAUACCGGAUAGGAGCUCCUGCUGCAUGGUGGGGGUUGGAAAGUUUCGGCGGUUGGGGAUGGACUCGCGGCUUAUCAGCUUGUUGGUGGGGUAGUGGCUUACCAAGGCUUUGACGGGUAGCCGGCCUGUGAGGGUGACCGGCCACAAUGGGGAAGAGAAACGGCCCAGACACCAACGGGAGGAAGAAGGGGGGAAUAUUGCAAAAAGGGCGGAAGACUGAUGCAGAAACGACGCGUGGGGGAAGACGGACUUAGGGUUGUAAAACGCUGUCGCCUGGGAAGAAGGGUGAGUGAAGGUAAUGGGUAAAGAAGCACCGGCUAAAUAAGUG
rnacentral:rRNA from 1 species